CAGACAGCCAGGAGGUUGGCUUAGAAGCAGCCACCCUUUAAAGAGUGCGUAAUAGCUCACUGGUCGAGUGGUUCUGCGCCGACAAUGUAACGGGGCUCAAGCAUGGUACCGAAGCUGUGGGCCUGUCUAUGACAGGCGGUAGGGGAGCGUUUGCUUCAGCUGUGAAGGGAAAGCUGUGAGGCAUCCUGGAGCGAAGCGAAGUGCGAAUGCCGGCAUGAGUAGCGUAAGGGGUGUGAGAACCACCCCCCCCGUAAACCUGAGGUUUCCUACGGAAGGUCAAUCCGCGUAGGGUUAGUCGGGCCUAAGCCGAGGCCGAAAGGCGUAGGCGAUGGACAGCUGGUUAGUAUUCCAGCACCGCGAUUGUAGAGUUUGAUGCAAAGGGGGGACCCAGAAGGGUAGGUCCCGCGGGCCUAAUGGACAUGGUCCGUUCCUGAUUGUAGCCGUCUGAGGGUAGGCAAAUCCGCUCUCAGGUUAAGGUGAGGAGAGGGAAAAGGGGAGACUUCGGUCAAACCGAUGGGGUUGAGCCCACGCUGGCGAGAAAAGCCUCGUUGCUAUUUACAGUUGCGCCCGUACCGCAAACCGACACUGGUAGGUGAUGGUAAGUACCAUAAGGGGAUCGGAAGAACCUUCGUUAAGGAACUCGGCAAAUUAGAUCCGUAACUUCGGGAGAAGGAUCGCCCCUGGUUGUGUAGGAGUUCGCCUCCGAAGCACCCGGGGGCCGCAGAGAGCAGGCCCAGGCGACUGUUUAUCAAAACCACAGGUCUCUGCAAACGCGAAAGCGGAAGUAUAGGGGCUGACGCCUGCCCAGUGCCGGAAGGUUAAGAGGAGAGGUUCACGCCUUGAAUUGAAGCCCCGGUGAACGGCGGCCGUAACUAUAACGGUCCUAAGGUAGCGAAAUUCCUUGUCGGGUAAGUUCCGACCCGCACGAAAGGCGUAACGAUCUGGGCACUGUCUCGACGGAGGAUCCGGCGAAAUUGAAUUGACCGUGAAGAUGCGGUUGACCCGCGGCAGGACAAAAAGACCCCGUGGAGCUUUACUGCAGUUUGGCACUGGGAGUGGGCCUGAGAUGCGUAGGAUAGGUGGGAGGCGUUGAAACCGGACUUGCGGGUUCGGUGGAGCCAACCUUGAAAUACCACCCUUCUUUGGUCUGCUUUCUAACUGUUGAGCAAGCAACAGGACAGUGUCUGAUGGGCAGUUUGACUGGGGCGGUCGCCUCCUAAAAUGUAACGGAGGCGCACAAAGGUUCCCUCAGGGUGGAUGGAAAAUCACCCGUUGAGUGCAUUGGCAUAAGGGAGCUUGACUGUGAGACCUACAAGUCGAGCAGGGGCGAAAGCCGGUCAAAGUGAUCCUACGGUACCGAGUGGAAGGGCCGUGGCUUAUCGGAUACAAGCUACCCCUC
rnacentral:rRNA from 1 species